rnacentral:rRNA from 1 species
UGGACGACUCUCGGCAACGGAUAUCUCGGCUCUCGCAUCGAUGAAGAACGUAGCGAAAUGCGAUACCUGGUGUGAAUUGCAGAAUCCCGUGAACCAUCGAGUCUUUGAACGCAAGUUGCGCCCGAGGCCAUCCGGCUAAGGGCACGCCUGCCUGGGCGUCACGCUUUCGACGCUUUGUCGUUGCUCCCUCGGGGGGCGGGGGCGAACGCGGAGGAUGGCCCCCUGUGCCGGAAGGUGCGGUUGGU